rnacentral:rRNA from 1 species
GGGGGGACACAGUAGGAUAGGCGAAGCGUGCUGUUGGAGUGCACGUCUAAGCAGUGAGACUGAAUGGUAGGCAAAUCCGCCAUUCUCAAGGUUGAGCUGUGAUGGGGAGAGGAAACAUGUUUUCCUCGAGUCGUUGAUUUCACACUGUCGAGAAAAGCCUCUAGCUAGAUAACUGGUGCCCGUACCGCAAACCGACACAGGUAGUCAAGAUGAGAAUUCUAAGGUGAGCGAGAGAACUCUCGUUAAGGAACUCGGCAAAAUGACCCCGUAACUUCGGGAGAAGGGGUGCUCUUUAGGGUUCACGCUCUGAAGAGCCGCAGUGAAUAGGCCCAAGCGACUGUUUAUCAAAAACACAGGUCUCUGCUAAACCGUAAGGUGAUGUAUAGGGGCUGACGCCUGCCCGGUGCUGGAAGGUUAAGAGGAGUGGUUAGCUUCUGCGAAGCUACGAAUCGAAGCCCCAGUAAACGGCGGCCGUAACUAUAACG